ACCGGUUGAUCCUGCCGGUAGUCAUAUGCUUGUUUUGAAGAUUAAGCCAUGCAUGUCUAAGUUUAAACAGAUUAAUAGUGAAACUGCGAACGGCUCAUUAUAUCAGUUAUAAUCUAUUUGAUAGUACCUUUCUACUUGUAUAACUGUAGGAAUUCUAGAGCUAAUACAUGCUAAAAUGCUGGGUGGCCUGCUGCUGGGUUGCAUUUAUUAGACUUAAGACCAAUACAUGCCUUCUUGUGAAACUUGGUGAAUCAUAAUAACUUUGCGAAUCGCGAGGGCUUUAUGCCAGCGAUGAUUCAUUCGAAUUUCUGCCCUAUCAACUUUUGAUGGUAGGAUAGAGGCCUACCAUGGUCGUAACGGGUACGGAGAAUUAGGGUUCGAUUCCGGAGAGGGAGCCUGAGAAACGGCUACCACGUCCAAGGACGGCAGCAGGCGCGUAAAUUACCCAAUCCUAAAUCUGGGAGGUAGUGAAGAAACAUAACAACGCAGGGCCUUUUUAGGUUCUGUGAUAGGAAUGAGUUGGAGCUAAAAUACUUUCUUCUAGUAACAAUUGGAGGGCAAGUCUGGUGCCAGCAGCCGCGGUAAUUCCAGCUCCAAUAGCGUAUAUUAAAGUUGCUGCAGUUAAAAAGCUCGUAGUUGGAUUUCGGAUUGGGACUGGCGGUCUGCCUUCGUGGUAAGAACUGCUUGUCCUGGUCUUAUCCUCUGGAGACUUCUUUCUGCUCUUAAGUGAGUGGGGAGAGGAUUCAGGCCGUUUACCUUGAAGAAAAUAGAGUGUUUAAGGCAAGCAAUUGCGUUUGAAUACAUUAGCAUGGAAUAAUAGAAUAGGUCUUUGAGCUUGUUCUGUUGGUCUUUAGGCUUAAAGAAAUGAUUAAUAGGGACAGUUGGGGGCAUUAGUAUUUAAUUGUCAGAGGUGAAAUUCUUGGAUUUAUUAAAGACUAACUACAGCGAAAGCAUUUGUCAAAGAUGUUUUCAUUAAUCAAGAACGAAAGUUAGGGGAUCGAAGACGAUUAGAAACCGUCCUAGUCUUAACCAUAAACGAUGCCGACUAGGGAUUGGAGGAAGUUUAUUUUCAUGACUCCUUCAGCACCUCAUGAGAAAUCAAAGUUUUUGGGCUCUGGGGGGAGUAUGGUCGCAAGGCUGAAACUUAAAGGAAUUGACGGAAGGGCACCACCAGGAGUGGAGCCUGCGGCUCAAUUUGACCCAACACGGGAAAACUUACCAGGUCCAGACAAUGGAAGGAUUGACAGAUUGACAGCUCUUUCUUGAUUCAUUGGGUGGUGGUGCAUGGCCGUUCUUAGUUGGUGGAGUGAUUUGUCUGGUUAAUUCCGUUAACG
rnacentral:rRNA from 1 species